rnacentral:lncRNA from 10 species
GAAACACUCCCUCCCAAAGCGAGGCGGCUUAGACCAUAACGAAAUUACCUGAUCUCUCUAUUCCUACUCCAACAGGUCAUGGGAAAAGAACAAAAUGAUCUAUUAAAAACUGCAGCUGUGCUAUAGUUAUGGGCAAUGUCACUAUGGGGAGAAACUAGCUGAUGGAUACUCGAGACCUCUCUGUACUAUUUUUAUCACUGCUUAGGAACCUAUAAUUAUUUCAAAAAAAAAAUUGAAAAACAAAACCAGCAGCUGUCUGAAAAAAUUAUCUUCAAGCUAAUCAUGAGAAACAAAAGUCAAAACUCACGACUGGAUAAUUGGUCCCAAUUAUGCUAGUUCUGUACCUAAUGCUUGGAGAAAGACAUUCAGUAAGGAAACCAAGAAAUGAUACACAAGUGUCUGGCCAAACCCCUCCCUUCUUGGUUUAACUAAUAUGGAAGAGUAACAUUUGUUAUCUUAGAAACUAAGAAGUAAACUAACAACUGUAAAUGGCAAAAUUAAGAUUUAUAAAUUCAUUUUAUCAUUCUAAGAUCUAGAAAAGAGACCCACCCUAUUUUAUCCAAGCUAAAACUCUGCUGAUUGUAAGACACUUCAUUAUUUUAUGUAUCAUUAGGAAAGAAACAAACUUUGCCAAUUAACUAUGACACAAUGCCUUAAAGACAGUCUUGGGUGACAGUCAAACUAGUUCCUCACUGCUUUGUUCUGGGGGAUUUGGCAAUUUCUUCUGCCUUGAGUUGCAUUGCUUGUCGUGUGAUCAGCAGUCCUUCUGAAUGUAACUCAGUAACAAAACAUAAC